rnacentral:rRNA from 1 species
AACGAACGCUGGCGGCAUGCCUAACACAUGCAAGUCGAACGAGAUCUUCGGGUCUAGUGGCGCACGGGUGUGUAACGCGUGGGAAUCUGCCCUUUGGUUCGGAAUAACAGUUGGAAACGACUGCUAAUACCGGAUGAUGACGAAAGUCCAAAGAUUUAUCGCCAGAGGAUGAGCCCGCGUAGGAUUAGCUAGUUGGUGUGGUAAAGGCGCACCAAGGCGACGAUCCUUAGCUGGUCUGAGAGGAUGAUCAGCCACACUGGGACUGAGACACGGCCCAGACUCCUACGGGAGGCAGCAGUGGGGAAUAUUGGACAGUGGGCGAAAGCCUGAUCCAGCAAUGCCGCGUGAGUGAUGAAGGCCUUAGGGUUGUAAAGCUCUUUUACCCGGGAUGAUAAUGACAGUACCGGGAGAAUAAGCUCCGGCUAACUCCGUGCCAGCCGCCGCAGUAA